CCUGAGAAACCCAAAAGAUCGAAUGGGGAGAUUCAUCGUCAGCUCAUUUUGUAUAUGUAUAAGUUAUGAUNCGGGUUACUACUUGUAGUAUUGCCUGCACAUUCUUAUAUAUUUAGUUGCAAGAUGUUGUCGGCGUGCACUUCUCCUCUAGUAGGACGUCGCGACCUGUUGGGUGUCGGUCUACGGCCCAAGUGAUAGACUUUAAUGUAAUUUAAAAAGCAUUAAAGAUCCUUGGUGUUUUCUGACCGGCUACUUGGCAGUAUUCGUACGAUAUUUAGCCGCUAAUUUUUAUUAAGCGUCCAUAUCCUACACAAGCGAGGCUAAUUUACUGAUAGUAUGGACCUAGUGCCGUCGUUGGUAUUGGCCAGCUGUUAGUUGUAUGGUAUUCUAGGACUGGCUAAAAUUAAUUAUCGGUCGGCGAUGCUACUGCUUUGGGUACUUUCAGG
rnacentral:rRNA from 1 species